GAUGAACGCUGGCGGCGUGCUUAACACAUGCAAGUCGAGCGGAGAUGUUUAAAAGACUUGCUUUAAAACAAUCUUAGCGGCGGACGGGUGAGUAAACGUGUGGGUAACCUGCCUUAUACUGUGGAAUAAUCACUUGAAAAGGUGACUAAUACCGCAUGUGGUCUCCGGAGGGCAUCCUCUGGAGAAGAAAGGAUUUAUUCGGUAUAAGAUGGACCCGCAUCUGAUUAGCUAGUUGGUGAGAUAAUAGCCCACCAAGGCAACGAUCAGUAGCCGACCUGAGAGGGUGAUCGGCCACAUUGGGACUGAGACACGGCCCAAACUCCUACGGGAGGCAGCAGUGGGGAAUAUUGCACAAUGGGGGAAACCCUGAUGCAGCAACGCCGCGUGAAGGAAGAAAGGGUUUCGGCUCGUAAACUUCUAUCAAUAGGGAUGAAAAAAUGACAGUACCUAAAUAAGAAGCCCCGGCUAACUACGUGCCAGCCGCCGCCGUAAC
rnacentral:rRNA from 1 species